GUCCCGGUGGUGCAGUGGUAAGCACAUUCCAUCAUUACGCGCUUCCGAGAAAUGAACUUGGAUGAGAGGUCGAGGUUGGAAAGGCAUGGGUUCAAAUCCCAUCCGGGCUG